rnacentral:lncRNA from 1 species
AAUUUUCCAACCCAAACCCUAAUUCUCUCUUCAAAACCCUAAUGUCUUAUGUCAUGUGUAAUAUCAUAUGGUUACAAUCAUUUAGUCUGCAUCAAUUUUAUUGGACCUCUACAAGCACCAAUUGGAGAGUCCAAGUUUCUUUCUCUUUCUUCUUACUCUAUUGUCUCACCAUCCUCACACUUUCAUCUCUCUUUUCUCAAUCUCUCUUUCUCUCUGACCUCCCCAUCUCAUCCUUAUGCUCUCAUCUCUC